rnacentral:rRNA from 1 species
UACAGAGACUGCAAGCGUUAUUCGGAUUCACUGGGCGUAAAGGGUGCGCAGGCGGCCAAGUGUGUGAGGUGUGAAAGCCCGGGGCUUAACCCCGGAAUUGCACCUCAAACUACUUGGCUAGAGCAUUGGAGAGGGUAGCAGAAUUCACGGUGUAGCAGUGAAAUGCGUAGAUAUCGUGAGGAAUACCAGAGGCGAAGGCGGCUACCUGGACAAUUGCUGACGCUCAGGCACGAAAGCGUGGGGAGCAAACAGG